GGGCGCAUAGCUCAGCUGGUUAGAGCGUCCGCUUGAUAAGCGGAAGGUCCGUGGUUCGAGUCCACGUGUGCCCA
rnacentral:tRNA from 1 species